AAUGAACGCUGGCGGCGUGCUUAACACAUGCAAGUCGUACGAGAACGUCUUAGCUUGCUAAGAUUAGUAAAGUGGCGCACGGGUGAGUAACGCGUGGAUAAUCUACCUUCGAAUCGGGGAUAACAUUGCGAAAGCGAUGCUAAUACCGGAUAAUAUCUAUUAUUCUUCGGGAUUUUAGAUCAAAGAUGGCCUCUACUUGUAAGCUAUUGUUUGAGGAUGAGUCCGCGUCCCAUUAGCUUGUUGGUGGGGUAAUGGCCUACCAAGGCAACGAUGGGUAGCUGGUCUGAGAGGAUGAUCAGCCACACUGGAACUGACACACGGUCCAGACUCCUACGGGAGGCAGCAGUGAGGAAUUUUGCGCAAUGGGGGAAACCCUGACGCAGCAACGCCGCGUGAGUGAUGAAGGCUUUUGGGUCGUAAAGCUCUGUCAAGUGGGAAGAAAAUAUAUAUAGCCAAUACCUUUAUAUACUGACGGUACCACUGAAGGAAGCACCGGCUAACU
rnacentral:rRNA from 1 species